AUGGCUUCCCGCCUCAUAACCAGAUCAACGGCCGCGGUCCUCCUCUCCCACCUCCGCUCCAGGACGCCGAAUCCUACCCACCACCUCCUCACACAUGGAGCUGCCAUGUCCUCCCUUCUGGGACCCACUCACGGCCUUCCUGCCACCGCCAGAUCACGCCCCCUCCUCGAGCCGACUCGGUGGUUCUCUUCGCCGGCGCCGGUGGUGGAGGCGCCGAGGACGGUUGACGGCCUGACUGUGGACUCUAUUGCCGACAAGGGCUGGACGAUCCUCGCCGAGGCCGAGAGCGACUGGCGCAGCCACGCCGCCGCCGUCGCGCAGUCCAUCAGGCUUAUUAAGAAGCGUCUCAAGUGGAAAUGGUUACUGGAGAGGUCGAAGCAGUUGGCUGUGGUAUUGGAGAAGCCAGACCUCUGGGAGGAUCCAGUUUUUGCUGGGAAUGUUAGUCGUGAACAAGGCGAGCUCAUGGGCAAGAUUAAGUCAGUGAACCAAUUCGAGCAACAAUUGAUGGAGCACAUCGACAUGUUGAGGCUUGCACGUGAAGAGGGUGACAAUGAACUCGAGACGGAAUCCAUGCGAGCAUUGGCCGAUAUGAGAAGAGAUGCAAAGGAGAAAGAACUCAAUGCAUUGCUUUCUGGAGAUAAUGACGUUUACCCUUGCUUCAUUGAGGUCCAAGCAGGAGCCGGAGGCGUUGAGAGCAUGGAUUGGGCUGCCAUGGUUAUGAACAUGUACAGAUCAUGGGCUCAGAGACGGGGAUACAGAGUCACUAUAAUAGAAGAAAUACCUGGUGAACUAGCAGGAAUCAAGGUUUGCUUGUUUUAUUUUUUUCAUCACUUCACACCACUCAAUCCGAGGGCUACUAUCAAAGUUGAUGGUGAGUAUGCAUUUGGAUAUGCGAAAUCUGAAAUAGGAGUUCACAGAUUAGUGCGGAUUUCUCCAUUUGACAGUGGAAAGCGGCGGCACACUUCCUUUGCUGCUGUCGCUGUCAUACCUAUUCUUGGUGAGGCCUCUAGCCGAUACCAGAUAAACGAAUCGGAUCUUCGGAUAGAACGCUUCCGUUCUGGUGGACCUGGCGGCCAGCAUGCCAACACCACAGAAAGUGCUGUUAGAAUUGUGCACAUCCCAACUGGUACAACGGCAACUUGUCAAAAUGAAAGGUCACAACAUAUGAAUAGGGCAUCAGCAAUGGCGGUGCUUCAAUCUAGGUUGGACCAGCUUGAGAUUACCCGUCAAGCGCAGAUGAAUGCAGAGCACACGCAAUCACUGUCUGAAAUAAGCUGGGGAAACCAAAUAAGAUCGUAUGUGCUACAGCCAUACCGUAUGGUCAAAGAUCUCCGGACAAACUAUGAAGUGUCUGAUCCCGAUUCAGUCCUGGAAGGCGACCUGGAUGAUUUCAUACUGAGCUUUUUGUCAUUAUCAUUGGAUAAAGUUGAUGAAAGUGUCUGA
rnacentral:rRNA from 1 species